rnacentral:lncRNA from 1 species
UUUGUUUUUUUUUUUUUUUUUUGUGUAUAUAUAAAAUUCACAAGAAGCCUUUUCUCAAGUAGGCUUGCCCUGUUUGGGAACUGCAUGCAAAUAGAGCUAGCUUGAAGUUUCUUUAAACGAAGUCGAUUUGUAACACAUAUUUUUAGCUUUAUUUGCAGAAAUCACUUAUGAAAAGUUACAAUAGGAUUGGGACGCACGCCAGAAGUUGUACAAAUACAGGGAACAAACCAAAAGGGCGAUAAAAUAUCAGCCCAUAGACGAUAGGGAUUCAUGUUGAUUGAUACUUGAUGGUGAUCAUUAGUGGCGACACAGCUGGCUGUAGAGGCAUGGCCUGCCUGGGCGCCCACCAGGAAUGCAUUUCCAGUACGUUAUUCUAUCGCAAAUUGGCUUUCGGUUUAAUGCGCGGUAAUCAAUACUUCCACCAGAAGCAAGAACAUUGCCAAACUCUGAAUCCAUAUGGAAUUCUUGGUGGUCGGCUACAGCACUGCCAUUGGUGGAAUCGCCCCAAUCCCAGCUAACGCUACCAUUGACACUUCGAAUACUAGUUGCGCUGAGGAGAACUGUCGUGGUAAGCAGCAGCCAUGCCACCACUGGGAAGAUGCACAGGCUCUUUGAUGCUGAUUUCUCCAUCUCUCCCUGCUAUCUCUUGCUCUCUUGGAGACCUGAAUAGCUUUCUCUAUUUGUACUAAUAGACCUACUUUAGAUGAUAAUCAUAUUAAUGAACGCAUGGCUGUAGUUGGGACUGAGUUAAUUACUUUAAUUAGAGCUCCUCCAUGUUAGGUGGCCGUCAGCUAGGCUAUCUUCCUAGUUUCUCAAGAAUCUUUUUUUUUUUUCUUUUCUUUCUUCGAAAAACAAAAAAAAAAAAAAAAAAAGUGCUACAUGAACAAUUAGUAUAUUUCGGCCAUGUCAUGUUACGUGGGACACUUUCCUCUGCUGACGAUCGUGAUCAGGACCCCAACAUUUACUUCUUACUUCUGUUCGGAAUGAUACUCUCUGUGACUGAUAAAGACAGUGGUAAGGAGGGAAAGCAUUAAAGUUAAAGGGGAUGAAGAAGAAUGUACAACUUCUACUGUUACAGCAACCUUGUUGAUUGCAGAAUCCAUGGCACAAAAUUACAAUCAUAAGGUAGACAAGAAAAUAAAUAUAGAGAUUGAAAGCUCGUACAGAUGUGCCCAAGCCUCAACUAAGAGGACUUAAACCGAUUUUGACCAACUACACUGUCCUCUCUCGUUUGGUACAUACAUCGGAAUGUCUCGAAUGAAAAGGUCAUUCCACCUAGAAUGCCUUUCCAGUCAAAAUGAUAUGGAAAUUUUUUUUUUUCAUUCCAAUAUUUGUAUUGCAUUUCAAAAUAGAAUGUCUUUCCCAUUUCCAGUACAAUCAAUUUUUACAUGUCAGAAUGGAAUAAAAAUGUGUAUAAAAUAGACUUAAUUACCUUGAAAUCUAUUAUUUAGCAUUACAUAUUAUUACAUUUUUUUUAUUUAUUUGUGCUAUGCUAUUUGUUAGCUCAUACGAGAAACUUUGACUUUUUUUCUUGGCACAUUAUGAAUAACUUAUGUACUUAUUGAAAAAAAUCCAUUGUAAUAUUUAUUAUUUUGGAAAUAUCAAUAUUUAUUUUAAUUUUUUAUUUUAUAUAAUAUUAUAAUUACGAGCUUACACAAAAAAAAAAUCACAUGGAGCUAAACAUUCAUAUUCUCUCUUUAUUAUUUUUUUCAUUAUCUACGUCAAGUGAAAAAAAAAAACCUUAUACAUUUGCACAGAAGUUUAAAUGAACAGAAAAAAUAUCUUAAAAAUAACUAGAAUAGUUUGUUACAAAAAAUUAUGGUCAAUUAUCGGUUAUACUAACAAAAAGCCUACUAAUUGGUAAAAGAACGAAGAUACGUAUGAGGAUAAAUUUGAUCCCAGUAAUUUUGUACAUUCCAAAAUAAAGGUGGAAAAAACUUUCCUUAGAAUUUUGUGAGGGAUGAGUAUCUAGGAAAAAGUUGGAAUGACAUUUCAAGGGGAAAAGGCCUUUUCAACUCAAAAGCUCUAUACCAAACAUUAAAAUUGAAUGGAUAUGUUGGAAAGACCUUUCCAUUCUAGGCGAUUCCUAUGCACUAAAUAAAGAAUAAGUGAAAAUGAAUAGAAGAAGAAAAGAAAAUGAAUUAAGGUGAUAAAAAAACUUAAAAAUAAAUAAUUUUGAAUGACAAUUAAAUACAUAAAACGUAAGAGAUUUGUCAAACAAUUUUGGCAAGCAAUAUCUUGAAAUUUCCAAUAAUUAAAAUAAGUUCCUAUGUAUCUAGAAUUGAUUCCAAUGAUCAAUUAGAAGUAACAAGGCUAACAAAAAUCAGAACUCGAUUGAAGGUACUUUAUUGAAAAGUGAGCUAUUAACUAUGACAAAAAUGUGAAAUUAGUAUCUUGCUUGUUGGAUGGGGGGAAAUGGGGCAGGGACGGUUAAUGGCCAUGAUCUGGCCUCAAAAAUUUGUGCGGCUGAGAUCACAAGUUGUAACUUGAUUUUCACGCCAUGUGUGGGUCCCACAAAAAUUUGCUCUAAAGUUACGCGAUGUACAAAAAAAGUUACGCGAGGUACAAAAAAAGUUACACGCAAUUGAAAAUGGCCAAAACCGUCCGGGACGGUUACACCUGCAAUCGUCCGUGCCCCUUGUCCCUUGUUGGAUAUAUGGCCAUGCUCCCAUAUUGGUUGUCGGCUACAGUACUGCCGAUCGUGGAAUUGUCCCAAUCCUAGCUAAUGCUACCGUUAACACUUUGAAUACUACUUGCACGGAGGAGAGCUGUCGUAGUCAGCAACAGCCAAGCCACCGCUGGGAAGAUGCACAGGCUCUUGCUCUUGGAUGAUGAUCUCUCCAUCUCUCCCUUGCUUUUGAAGACUUGAGUAGCUUUCUCCUUUGGUAUCCACUUUACAUAAUGCAUGAUAAUGAGUUGACAGCUUUAGGUCUUCCUUACGGAAUUGGCUCCUUUCCGGUGAAUUCUCUUUACAUUUUUCGCAAUACAUAUAUCUACAUGUAUCACACGUAUCUUCAUUUAUUACCAAGGGUAGAGUUAGUAAAAUUUAAAACGAUGAAAACACGCCAUACAUCCAAAUGUAUAUUGCACGAAAUGGAGAAAGAAUCCAUUAGAGAAGAGCCAAACCAUUCAGUUUUUCCAAACCUUCGAUGGGUACUUCACGAUGUUAGGUGACCCAAACCUAUGUUAUCUUCCUAGUUUCUUAAAAUUCUUUAUUCAUUUCUUUCAUUUCUUUCUUUAAAAGACCAAAAGAAAAUUGUUUCAUGAAACGAUUAAUUUUUUGACUCGAAAUUUUGAAUAAGAAACGGCUUCUCUCAAGGACAUAUGUGGUGUAAUUUUCAUGAUUAAUUUUAAAAUAUAAAGGAAACUAAAUCAAGGUUUCAAACGUUAGGGAAAACACUUCAAACACAUUUUUAUUACAGAUUAAAAAAAAACUAGAUUCAUUUGAUAAGGACCUCCAUAUAAGAAAAUGAUGGAUCAGCCAUGGCAUGUUAGGUGGGACAUUUUCUUCAACGGACGCUCGUGGUCAGGACCCCAACAAUUACUUAUUAUUUCUAUUCGGACUGAUAAAGAGUUAAAAAGACUCUUUGUGACUGAUAAAGAAGGGAAAGCAUUAACAAGCAGCAUAGUUGAAUAAGAAAAAAAAGCCACACCAGGUAUAGAUUGGUGCAGCUAACAAACUUGGGAAUAAGGAAUGCCAAAAUCAGUUCAUCACAUGGUCGAAUGUUUCUUGAUGCAUGGGAGAAUUUAAUACUUGGCCAUGCCAUUACACCAGGCAUAGAUUAACCAGAGCCAAUAUUGAAUCUCUCGGUUGAUCUAAUUCUUUUGUUCUCACUUCUGUUCUAGCUUCAGUUUAGUUUGAGUUUUCAUCUUUUGCACUAACUUUCAUGUAGUUAGAUUACAAAUAAACAUGACAACUCGCCUACAAGUAAUUGGAUUGUUAUGCUAGAAGUUAGGGCGAAUUCUUUGGAUUCUAAGAAACAAACAUGCAUAACGGAUCCUAUAGUGGCUACUGCAUUUAUAACUCUAUCCUCGGUUAGCAAAGAAGCACUAUCGCACCACAUUUUUUAAAAUAAAAAGGAAAUGGUGUUUUAAAAAAUGAUUUUUGAUUUUUAUAAAAUAUAUGAAGAAAAAGGGCCUAAAAUGGGACAUAAAAAGUGCAAUGGUUUGGAUCCAAAAUUUAGUCUAAAAAGAAUUUUUUAAGAAAAAUAGGAGUCGUCACUUGAUAUUAAAUUUAAGCGUACCAAAUUAUCAAAAAUAUAUUUUUAAGUGAAAACAAAUAAAAACCCUUUUAGACGACUCCAAAUCUUUAAAAAUAAGAUAAAAGAGUUUGAAAGUCACGGUUGAAGUAAAGGAAUGCAGAGAUUUGAUAUGGUCAAACCUUAGGCACCCUUUCAAUCUAACCAAGGUUAGUUGCGAGAUUUAGUUAAAAAUUUUCCUAAUCUAACCUAUAAAACUUAUCACAUUUGGAUAUUUUUAUAUAGAUGCAAAUCUAGACCUAAAAGAUAUAAGGAGGGUCGAAAUGUCUCUUCAAAAUUUAAUUGGUGCAAGUCACAUUAAUUGUGAAAUCCAAAAAUGAUUCUUUGAAAAAGUCACACGAAUAUACAAAAGAUGAGAUUCGAAAAAUAUAUAUAUAUAAUAUAUAGAUAAAUAUAUAUGACCUAAAAGAGAGGAAUGCAACAUAACGGGUACGGAUAACUAAAAUUCGUAACAUAAUUUUCCUUCUUAUAGAGGGAGAAAAAGCAUGCUAAGGUUAAAAAAUCACACUCGUUCAUUUCCCAUAUUUGAAAGGUGACUCUUCUAACUUACGCAAACAAAUGGAUUAACCUAUUUCUAAUUUCCUAAAAUGAUAUGCAAUUAUAAAUGAUAUGAUCUAAACAUCUAGAGAGUAAGAGAAUAAUAGUAGAAAAAAUAUCAUACAAAUUAAAAUAACUUAGAAAUAGGAAAAAUGCAUGAAAUACAAUAAGUGUCACAUAAGGUAUGAACCUAAUGCAAAAACGGUCUAAAGGAUCUAACAUUGAAUUAAUCCAUUUCUACAAGUUCUCACUAGCAUUGGACUAGUGAGAAAUCGGGGAGAAAGGUCACGACUAACAUUGGACUAGUGUGGUGACGUUAUGCAUUUAUUAUAAAUAAAUGAAGCAUGUGAAGUAUAAUUAAAGCAAAUAAACACAUAGAGCACUUGGAACACAUAAUACAUAGGUAUAAUAUCUAGAUGCAAAACCCUAGAAAAAGCAAAAAAUACAUAAGUACACAAGCACACAAGCAUGUAAGUAAAUAAAAACUAACUAUUAUAUUAAGAGCCAUAACUACAAUCUAGAAAGGAAAUUUUUGGAAAUAAUAAACCUAUCUAUUACAUUUAUCUAAUUAAUUAUAUUUUGGCAAAAAUAAAUCUAUCUAUUACAUGGCCUAACUAAAUACAAUUCUUGGGCACCUGUCUAUUACAACUUGGCAUUUAAAUGUCUCCUAAAUAAUUAUCAAAAAUUAAAUAAAACUAAUUAAAACUUAAAGUGAAUAAAAUGAGUAAAUAAAGGAUAAAGCACUCAAGACAUGCAAUUAGGGGUGGGCGCGGGUUGGGUACCCGCCCCAUUCACCAUUUGGCUGACCCGACCCGCACCUUGCGGGUCAGCCAUUUUUUUACCUUUACCCGCCCCGCAUAUCAACGGGUACCUUAUAAUCGGGUACUCGCUGAGAUAGGGUCGGAUCAACGGGUACCCAUCCCGCCCUAUUUAUCAUUUAAUUUUAAAAAAAAUGAUUUAUACCAAUUUAAUUUUAUAUUUUACAUAUUUAUCUAAGAUUUAAGAAAUACUUUUUUUCUAAAAAAAGGUUUCCCACCAAGAAACAAGCAUGUGAAGAAAAAUAAGAUAAAGAAAAAAAUUAAAAGAAUUCGAAAUCAAUAAAAGUUUGAAAUAAGUAGCACAAUUUUUAAUAUAUAUGUUCCACAUUAAUUAAACUUUUUUCUAUAAAAUAUAAGAUCAUGGUCUCUACAAAUGAAUCUUGUAAAUAAACUAUAGUCUCUCAUAUUUGUAAUGCAAUUUGUUCAAUAAAAUUACUUAUUUAGUUCUUAUUAUUUUAUAGUGUGUGUAUAAAAAUAAAAAUAAAAUAUAUAUAUGCGGGGUGGAUCGGGUACCCGCGGGUUUUUAAUUAUGUGACCCUAACCCGCCCCGCAUCCUAGCGGGUACCCGACCCUCUUUUGACCUGAUCAAAUAAUAAAAAUUGGAUAUCCUAAUUUUCGGAUCGGAUCGGAUCGGAUAUGACGGGUUUUCGAGUUUAGCAGAUAAUUUUGCCCACCCCUACAUGCAAUCACACAUAAAACACAUAGGAGCACAUAAAAGAACUAAAGUAGUGGCCAAAUAAAGCAGAGUUUGUCCUAUUUAUACUCCAAAAUCAACAAAAUAGUCAAGACACCAAUUUAAUUAACAAUUCAAAAGGAAAUGUAAUUAUUCCAAAAAAAUAUGAAUAAAUAUAAAAUCCCUAAAAUUCACCAAUUAAAUGCAUCUAAAUGAAGCAUGAUUAACAAUUAAAAAAGAUAAACAAAUUAUACUUAAGGAAUCAAAACUAUUAGGGAUCUAAUUAUACAAUUGAAAAGUUUUUAGGGUUAAAUUAUAAUUCUUAAAAAAUUAGGGUUCAAAAUUGAAUAAAAGAUAAAGAUUAGGGAUCAAAUUGCCAUUAAAGUAAGAACCUAAUUAAAAUAAAUCCAAAGUUUUUGAGAGCCAUAGUGAAAUUACUUAAAAGAUCAAGGAUUUUAUUGCAAAUAUGUUUUCUGAUUUCCCAAGGCCAGAAGGCCUUUGGGCUAUCUUAUUGCUUUUUCUGGGCCGUAACCUCCUUGGCCCAAAGGAAAACAGGAAAAGAAAAGAUGGACUAAUCCAUUUAUUUGACUAAAACAAGUGGAGCCUAAAACGUUGGGUUUAGGCUCCAAAACCCGAGUGCAAACCCAAACAAAAAAUUAGUCUCGGCCUAAUUUUUUUAAUCCCAUAACAUAUUUCAUUAAACAUUUAUGGCCCAAAUCGGAUCAAAUCUAACAAAACAAAACAAGAAAAAUCGGAGGAAAAAUAGAAAAAAGGGAAAUCGAGAACAUUCCGGCGGGUUUGAAUUUUCUGGCACGUCGACCCGUUGAAAACUAAAAAAAUUCUGGCCAAAGUGGCCGGAAUCUAGCCGGAACCCCAUUUUUCAAAUUUUUAAGCACGGAUCUUUACAUAUACACGAAAGUCAUGUCAUUUUGGACCAAAAUCGUGUGAUUCUAGAAGAAAUGUGGAUCUAAAUUCUUGAACAUGAACUUUCAUAAACCCCAUCAAAUCUUUUGCAUUAAUGUCGAAUAGUGUAAGGAAAGGUCAUAGAAAUACGAUUUGUGGACAAGAUUGAAGUCGGUAAAGUGCGAAGGAAUACGAUUUGUUAAAUCUCCAAGAAAUUUGCAGCAGCACUAGUGGAGUUGAGGCAGCGAGUUUGUGGCCAAAUACAUGGACUUCCGGUCAUUCUUUCCACGAGGUUUCUAAACAAAAGUUACUCUCCUGAUUCCGAAGAUUGCACAGAAGUCAAAAUCUCCUCAAAGGGAGCUGUUUUGAAGGUGGAAAUUGGUUCACAACAGGGCCAAAAAGUCAGCCUGCUCUGCAAAAAAAAAUUCCAGCAACUUUUCUCUCUUUUUCUUCCUUUUUCUCUCUUUCUUUCUUCCUGCCGCCCUCUCUUACUGUUUUCUCCACCCUACAGCUACGUUCUCAACUAUUUAAAUGGAACAAAAGCUUCUCAAACCCUCCUCUCAAGGGUUGAGAAGAAAACCCUUUUUCUUGCUCUUUAUUUUUUGGCCCUUUGAUGGCCUUGUUUUCCGGAAGAUUCUUGAUACUUCUUGUUAUGAUGAGGUGACUUUUGUACUAUCAAGCUUGGGGAAAAAUAAAAGGAAGAAAAAUGCGAAUUUGAUGCCUCCAAAUUUCCAACUGCAUUUUCGUGCUUGUUGGUCUGGUUCCGGUAGAAGAAGGAGGAUAUAACGCGCUAGGAUUUUUUUUUAUAGGAAAACUGCAUUUUUUAAUUAUUCAUUUUUAUCAUAUUUUUGCUUUCUUUCUUUUCUUUUCCCUUUUGAUUUUCCUACAAAAACAAUUAAAUAAAAAUCAAACAAGGUGAAAAAAAUGACUUUUCUUAGGAAAAAUGAAAAAUAAAAUAAAACAAAAUGAAAUAAAGAAAAUAAUAAAAUUUUGGGGCCUAUAAGCACAAUGGACCCGAAACAUGUUUCAUGAAAUUCUUUUAUCGCCAUAAUCAGUUUUCUAUACAUUGUGCUAAUGCUGCAACACUUGCUAAAGUUUAAGCAAGUGUAUAUGGCAUGCCAGACAUAUUGGACUGAGACAUAUUUAUGUGAAGAACUUUGUAAAGUCUAGGCAAAAUUUGAGUGAUCAUCCAACGAAAAGAUUAUCAAGAGAUUUAGUGUACAAAAUAUCAAGAGGGAUGGGAUUGAAAACCCAUAAGCGUUAAUCACUCAUAAAGGAAACUCAAUUCAACGUUAGAUACAAUGUCUAAUCUUGAAUUCAACGAGUCAAAAUAAAUCAUUCUAGUGAUUGUAGCAUUAUGUUAAAUUCAAGAGUGUGCAAAAUACUGCCACUAGAAUAAGGGAUGGUCGAAUAUGUAACUCUCAACGUACGGAUCUUAAGAAAGUGCUUGAACAGGCAGGGCCACUAUGUGAAUGUGAAACUUGGGCAAUUCACAAAAACUUUAAGGGUUCAUCUUUGAAACAUUCAUGAAGAGAAUAUGCAAACAAGGCCUCAAAAAAUAUAUUGUUAUUUGAACAAACAACGGUGAAUAAAAUCUAUGUGCGAUUAGUUAAUGAAUCUUGUCAUAUGUUUGAGUGGUUCAAAUCUUGUCUAUCUUUUCUUACGGGCUUGAUAUAUAGAACUUUUCACUAAUGCAGUAGAGUCAAUAAAUUAAUAUCUAUGUGGGCGGCGUUAAUGUUUUUGUCUCCCAGAAACAUUUAGUUACAACCUUUUUUAGAACCCCCAAAAAGAAAAAAAGACAAUGGAAUUGCUUUUUCUUUUUUUUUUUUGUGCAUAUAUAAAAUUCACAAGAAGCCUUUUCUCAAGUUUGGGAACUGCACACAAAUAGAGCUAGCUUUAAGUUUCUUUAAACGAAGUCGAUUUGUAAUCCAUAUUUUGAGCUUUAUUUGUUGAAACCACUUGUGAAAAGUUACAACAGGAUUGGGACGCAGAAGAGAAGUUGUACAAAUACAGGGAACAAAUCAAAAGGAAGAUAAAAUAUCGGCCCAUAGACGAUAGGGAGUUCAUGUUGAUUGAUACUUGGUCACAUGAUAUGCUUGGCACACCUAUUCGUGUAGUCGCAAGGCCUGCCGUUAGCCCCAGCCCCAAGGCAAUUCGCGUACCUUGCGUUAUUGCAAAUUGGCUUUCGCCCUAAUGCGCGGUAAACAUUACUUCCUCCAGAAGCAAGAACAUUGCCAAACUGAGAAUCCAUAAGGAAUUCUUGAUCGUCGGCUACAACAGUACUGCCGACCGUGGAAUCGCCCCAAUCCCAGCUAACGCUGGCAUUGACACUUUGAAUACUAGUUGCGCUGAGGAGAACUGUCGUGGUAAGCUGCAGCCAUGCCACCACUGGGAAGAUGCAGAGGCUCUUUGAUGCUGAUUUCUCCAUCUCUCCCUGCUGUCUCUUGCUCUCUUGGAGACCUGAAUAGCUUUCUCCUUUUGUACCUACUUUACAUAAUGCAAGAUGAUGAACAUAUAUGGUUGUAGUUGGCACUGAGUUGACGACUUUAGGUCUUCCUUUCCAGUACAAACCUUUCACUAGUGCACGGCCAUGUUAGGUGACCCCCAGCAAUGUUUCUUUUUUUUUUCUUUGAAAAAAAAAAGUGUUUCGUGAAACAAUUAAUUUUUUUGACUGGGAAUAGGUGUGUAAACUAAUCAAACUACUUGACUCAAGCUUGCUAGUAGUUC